UAGCUUGCUCGAUGGCGGCACAUAUCGGGAUUUGUUAUUCUACGGUCGUGUUUGCGUGUGCAUGUUUCGGUAGUGAAGUGACGCGGUCAAGCGGUGUUUGCUGACGGGUGCACUCGUGUUAGCGUUGGGCACCCAGCACGGAGUACUCCACGGUCAGAGUGCAUGUAUUCGAGGAUAAUGUCCGCUUCAUCCUACGACGUGGAGGUUUGUAACUUCAAGAACACUGCAGGCGUCACCAGCGCCUACACAAAGUGCACUAGAACGACCCUUCUAGAAUGAAGACGCGGUUCCUGCGAUGUGGAUAUUCUGCACGUGUCAGGCAAGGUAGCAGAAAGUAGACUUGGCAGAGCUUCUUCCACCAAUGGUGGUCAGUGUUGGUCACCGAGGACACAUCCAAGAUGGACAAGAUGCAGCCACGCGAGUGCUGAUUUUUUUUUUAAAGUGGGAGAGCAAUCAGCACUCACCGAUGCAGAACUUGUGGGAAGGAAGGAGCUGUACUUUGUGCAAUUUGUGCCCACACCGUGCUGCACAUUGCAUCGCACAUGCAAGACCACAUGUACAUUUAGCAGAGAGAAACCUUUAAUGUGCACUACAUGACUGCAUGCAUUCAAGCAGAAGGCGCCCUGUCAACGCCACGUCUGCACCUACAAGCGCUGAUGUGAUCCGUGCCAGAAUUUUGUGCUGUGCGGUGUUUUUGCUUCGAGUGUCGGAACCAAUUUUUGGGUGAAUCGGCACGAGGAAGUGAACUGUGGUGUGAUUUGAUUGUUUGUGCAUUUUUGCUUUGAGUGCCGGCUUCAUCUUUCGUAGUAAAUUGAUGUGAAUGAGGACAUUGCCCAGUAAUGUGAAACUGGCGAUACGACUGUUGCAAGCUAUGUUGCAAAUGAUGAAAAGCCUUGGGGGAGGCAUUUAUUUGUUUUUCUCUUUUCCAAAAUCACAUUGCUCAAACAUCUCUGUGUCUUUGUGUGUAUUCCUAAUUCACAUUUCUUGGAGGUGUUUAUUUUAUGUCCGGGAUUCAGAUUGCGUGAUGUCUAGUCAGCUUGUGCAACCUUUUUUUGUCGUAGCAUGAUCACCGGUGUUAUCAUAUCUUUCUCUGUCUGAAACAACAUCCCAACUUCCCUAAAAACUGCUAAUGGCAUCUUCUAUGAAAAAUCUCAAUGAAAAAUGCAUACUCCUAAAGUGGAUUUAGGACAUGCUUCUUUGAAUUCUCUAUGUGUGCUUCCCCAUGCAUCUUGUUUGACCUAAUCAAUAUGGCAGACGUUGAUCUAGAAAGGUAAAUAAGGUAUCAGCGUGUAGUGGGUAGUGACUAUCCCUGCCAUGCUUCACUCCUCGUGUCAUCCAUGCUCUUGGAAAUCGUACUGUAAUGUCAACACUGCGGCUAGUUGGAAGUCAGCCAUGUUAUUUAGGGCAAGUGAGAUGCGUAGGAAAGCCUACUUAUGGAAUUGUGCCUAUCGUACAUUAUAGGUUGAUUAAAUUUUGCGCAAUGGAAAGUUUCAGUUGCUCGCUCUUUAUAAUGUGCAGUUUUGUUGCAGAGGCUAAUGGUUCGGUCUCGCGUGAAUUUCCUUUAAUGUUGCGAGUGUGUUGCUUUCAUGUUGGGAAUGCUAUGCUACACUUGAAUGUGCAUGGCACUCCUGAUAAAUUACUUGACACAAAGCUUUAGAGUGAGGCUAUAACUGCGAGAUGGGAGAGAGCUAUUCUUGUGUUAAAAAAAAAAAAAACAAUGAUGCCCUAAAAGGUGGACCCUUAAGGUUUCAAGACAGUGAAGGGAGGGGUGACAGGUUUCAGUGAGGCAAGGUUGUGGAAGGAAUUUUGAAGUCUUUAGGUCGAGAAGUAAUCCUUUCUAGAAACUGUUUCAUGCAGUAACUUUCAAGUCAUCAGAUCAACACUGCACGAAGUGCAUUGAUUUUCUGAGCUACAUUUUUGUUCUGCAUUGCUGCAUAUUGAGUAUGCCUCAUAUGCCGAUGGCUACUUAUUUGCUACUUAUUUCACUUACUAGGUAAAUGAUAUUUAAAGAGAUUAACAACUAAAUAUGUGUUGCUAGAAGUUGGUUGCAUUCUCGUAACUCACAUGUGGGUUUUUUAAAGUUUGGCACAACUUAGCCUAACCACCUUGUAUAAAAUGCAAUUGACAGAAGGAAAAAACAUAUAUCGCAGAAAUAAUUGAACAGUUUGAAAGAAUAAGUUGCAUGAUUAUUGCCUUGAUGAGCAAAAGGAUAUCUUGCAGCAGGAAUCGCAAUUGUUGGCCUCCCUCACAUGCCACUGCAUCGAGCAUAGGCCUCCAUAAACACGAUCCUGACUUCAGAUAGGAAGAGUUUACUCAAGGUUUGGCCACUAUGGACUGUACAUUUGGCAUGGAGAAAAAAAAAACUAGGUUCUAACUUAGCAUUGCUCUCCAAGUAUGCUUAGUUAGAUUGACGUCUCGAUAGCUGUGCGUGUGUGCAUCAAGAGUGACCUCGCACACUCUAUUUAACAAAGGGACGCUUCUGUACCUCGUAUCUCUUCCAAACUUGCCAUUUACUGCACGCUGAUGCAUUCACGUAUGCUCAACAUUUUUUUGUUAGAUACCUCUAAAGUAGAUGAAGUCCACUUAUAAUGCUUUAGUAAAAAAAAAAGUAAAAAAAAAAAGCAGAUACCACGAACAUCACAUUUCAGUCCCUUUAUGUGCUUAAUCAGUCAUCUUACAUCUGUUGUGUUCAUUUUGGUGCUCGGCUUAACUUCGUUCCUUCAUUGAAGCACUGGCAUUGUCUCCCACAGAUGCAGCAGCAACGAGUGAUGCUGGCGACGGAGCUUCAGUUCUUUUCUAUAUUCCCAAGGAGGCAAAUCAGUCCGGGCCAGACGGGCAUCGUAUCAUCCAAGGCAUUGGAGAAAGUGGAUCUCGAGCUCGCACGAUCGGCAUGCGGAGGGAGCCUCUCCACUGUGACCUCUGCCCAUACGCAACGCGCUAUACAAACCACUUCACAGACCACAUGAGGACUCACAGUGGAGAGAGGCCCUUCAAGUGCAUGAUGUGUUCGGCUACAUUCACAAAGAUGACAAGCUGUCGGCGCCACAUGCGAAGUAAACAUUUAUAGAUGAGGGUAGCUGUAUGGGUCUGUUAGGUCGUCUUCUAAUUUAUUGUAGCGCAGGCGACAUGGCACGAUGAUAGGAGGCAGAGGAGACAACACUGUACAGUUGUUGGUUAUAGUGUUUGUUUGCUAGCCAUGCAAGUGCCACGCCAUGUCCUUGUGGUUUGAAUUGCGGUUGUCCUUAUUGCUGACCGAAGGUGCGACCACAAAUUUUCUGCAGACUAUUUGCUGCUAGAACCGAUCUUGCAAAUAGUAGAGGGUUUUAGCUUGUCCAUAAAUAAUUGCAUCUUAUAUACUGAUGACAAGGCAAGAAGUGAAGAAAUUCUGUUGAACAGUUAUUAAACUAAUACAGUAGAACCUCGUUGAUACGAUCCUGUUACGUACGAUUUCCCCAGUGCCAACGUUCGCGAUCAACAACACAGUGACCUAAUGGAGUUACGCUUUAUUUUUACUGGUUCAUGCGUUCCCGGAAACACAAUUGUCUGCCCGCUAGGACCCCUGCAAACAAGAAAAUGCUUGAGGCGCGUGCAAUCGAGAACCGUAUAUAGCAGCCUGCCACAUCAGCUUCCCUGCAAUGCUCGCCCGCCCGUCUCGCAUAAAAACGCCAGCAUGCACUCGACCUCUUAUUCCAGUACCAACAAAUCUCCUCCUAGGUCGUCGCAUCACCAUUGCCGCCAAGCAUAUUGCAAUAAGCAUCUUCACCUAUUUGUUUUACAGUGCGUAUGAUGUAGUGUCGUUGGUAGCGUACUGCACGCAUUUAGUAGGUGAAAAUCCAUACGCGCCGCCGUUUCCUGCAGCAGGCGGCACGAUGUGAGCGUCGCGUUGUGCUUCGGCGGCAUCCCGCGUCAGUCACCAGCUCGAUUUCGUUUCGGUUUCCCAUCGCCAUCUUAAAACACUGCGCAAUAGGAAAACUAGACGUGUCUGGGGCCGCCGAAGACUCAUCAGCUCGACGCGUGUGAGCGUCUCGUGCCUCGUGUGCAACGAUGCGCACAACACUUCGCAUUAAGUAGAUUUCAACUAUACAAUCGAGUCUGUCGGAUUGUUUUGUUACUUUGGAUCGGACGUUUUCUCGGAUAGCACGUCUUUUCCUGCGUUUUUUCCCCAAAAUGGAUGAACAAGGUUCUACUGUAUAUACAAUUGUUGAGCUGAAUGACAAAUGUCCCUAAAUGAAAGCAAAACAGUAUACAUGACAGUCACCCACAGAAUCCGGCUGUUAAACUUUGCGAACACCUUAAAAGGGAAACAACUGCCAAGAGUAACGGACUACAAGUUUUGGGUUGGGACCCCUGUACACAGGAUUUAACCUGUACAACUAAUUGAUUAAAUAGUUGGCAAAACUAACUAAAGAUUAGGGCUACAGUAUACGAACGCCUAAGUACGCUUUGCCAGACGUGAAGCUAACAGCUUGCAAAAAAUGUUAAGAUCGAUCAUUGAAUAUGCAUGUCGGGCUUAUGAUCCACACUUUAAGACACUUAUAAAACUGGAACAGGUACAACAGUGUUCACUGCAUUUUAUUUACUAUUGUAAACACAGAAACUACUCACUAUUUUCACUUUAUCAGAAUGCAAACUUACCACCUCUCAAAUGCAAGAAGCAAGAAGGGCUUAUUCUCUUUCACAGUAUAAUAGGCAACAAUGUAGUAAUUGAUAGAAGCUGAUACAUGAAAGAAACAGUGUGUCGCGGGUUACAAGAGGCAAACAAAACAUAAGACGUGCAGAAGAAGAAUGGUUCUCAAAAGGAUGCUGUCACUAUUAGUUUUUCUUAUGAGCAUGAGACUGGAACAGGCUACUACCAAUCGUUGCAAAUGUAGAAAGCCAUGAAGGAUUAUCUUUCGUUGUUCUCUAUAGUUACUGGCACCUCAGCAUCUUGACUAGUACCUUAUCAUGCUGUACUUAAUUUCUGUUACACUGAGUGUGAGUCUAUUGUUAUUGAUUAUUUGUGUUACCAAUGUAUGCCACAUAUAGGUCGCUUGUGUUACACCAAGAGUGUUUAUUGCAAUUUUUUUAGCUGUGUAGUAUCACUCCUAUGCUGUAUCAUAAACAGGACUGAUAGUGUUUGUAAAUAAAUAAGUAUUGACAUGUUUGGGGGGAUAGCGGAAAAGUGCAUGGCAGCAACAAUGCUGGUAGCAACACCUGGUGUCGCACAGUCUAACCAUGAAACAAAGCUAAUGCUACAGUGACAUGUUAUAUUCAACAGAGCAAUAAAUAAGGCUAGUUGCAUUUAAAUUUCGGUAAGGAAGCAAGCUUUUCGAAAAGCACAACACGUGGAGACAACUCGAGAACGCAAGUUUUCGUUUUGUCUCUUCGUGUAGUGAGUUUAAGUCGGCGCGUUUCGUGAAAUAAAUGUUGUAUACCGCUUGCCACUGUUACAAAGCUUUGCUAGCGAAAUAAUUGUAAAAUGCAGCACCUUUAUUAUUUUACUUUGACGAUACCGCUGAUGUGGCGCAAACAUUUUUCAAAAUGUAGUUGGAUAAAUCAUCACGAGGUGUUACUGCCAGCAUUGCUGCUGCUGUCCGCAGCUCUACGAAUAAAUUAAUACGUAAACGGUUAGAAGUUCUUGCAGACAAGCUAAAACUCUGUAUUUUCCACUUGAAUUCACUACAGAGCAGGUGCUCAGAAAGUGGUCGCAUUGCAGGCAGCAGUGAGGCGAGAUAUAAGAAUUUGCAAAUUGGCUGCAUUCAGUGGCAAUAUUGCUCAGAUCUUGAAAAAGUUCUGGAAAAAGCACAUUUCUCGAUGAGCUGAAAAUUUUUAAAAGCAAUCCAACCUUGUCUUAGAGUAACAGUGCAUGGGACAAGAUGAACAGAAGAAAACGGACAAUGCUUUGUCCAUUUCCUUCUGUUCGUCCAUUCCAAUGCUCUGUUACUCUAUUUAACUUUAACAUGUACCAGCAGGUCCAACUUGGCAUUUUUUUGUAGAACCUUGUCUUGUGUUCCCGAACUCUUGCCGCUUGUCACAGUACUGUGUAGACCUGUACACACUUGUUAUAAUGGUGGCCGCUAUCUUGCACAUUUUGCAUUGUAUGUGCAUAAAAUUAACCCUUUUAUUAAGUCAUUGUUUUGUGCUGAUUGUAGCAUGAUCCUCCAUCGGACCAUAAUGAAAGUGAACAGUCGGAACUCAAUGCUGUCCAUCAGCACUUAUUUCAGAGUUACAUAAGGCAGUAAAUUUCCUGGUUAAUUUUUGUGGUCAUGCAUACUGUACUUCACAGAGCAAGCUGCUUGGAUGUGUUGUGACCAGCUAAAAUUGAAAUUUAACAGAUGGCAUUUUGAUGACACUCAGUUCAGUUUACUGUGUAUAUCAUAACCUUUAACCCAAUGCAUGGCGUACCAUCUCUCCAUCAACCGGGCAAACAUCUAGAUCAUUCUAUUAAAGACAGCGUCUCUGUCUCUUGAUUCAGUUUAUUUCACGUUAUGGAAUAGUAGAUUUUGAGAGGCAAUGGGUUUCUGUUAGGCCUACAUUGAAUUGCUUCCCUUAACUUGCAUGGUGAUGAAACAUUGUGUAGCCAUGGUCCAACUCAGUAUCAAGUCUGGAGAUUUAUUGCAAAAUCACGUGACUGCAUGAUUGCCUGCAGUUUGUUUUCAACCUUUAUCUUUUUAUAAUGUGUAAGCCAAGGCAUGGACAUAGCUCUUAAAAUUUUGUUUCUGUGGUUUAUUUCUGUUCACGAAGUCAGUACCUGAUGUUCUGCUGGCUUUUGAAAUAUGCUUUGAAUGCUAUUACCAGUCGAGAAUGCAUGCGCUUGGACGUCAGGGCAACUUGAGCUAAUGUUAUUACGAACAGACUUCUCUUCAUCAUGGCAAUAUCUGUUACCCUGAUAUGUCCACUUGUCAAAAUGUUUCCUCCAGUGACAUCUCUCUUGUUUGAGUACUGUUUAUUACCACUUGUCCAUUUGUAGAAAGUAUGCAAGCUUUACAUUUUAUACCACCAUUUAUUUAACUGCACCAAAGUAAAAAAAAAAAUUAUAGCUUUAAUAAUCACUGUGACAUUAUCGUUACUGACCAAGUGUCCAGCUUGACAGCCUCUAGGUAAGGAAUAAGUUAUAGUGUUAUGUGUGCGAUUAAGAAAGUUACAAUGACUUUUAAUUAUCAAUCUUGGGUGGCUGCAAAAGAGCAGUUUGGAGCCCAUCUUUGACAUUAUCUAGCUGUGCAAAGAAAUUUUUAUUAGACAAUCUCCUGUCAGGGCUACACGAACAAAUAUUUCUCACUCAAAGGCUCUCUGAAAGCAAAACUGACACAUAAUGAAUAGCGCCUUGAGAUUGGUCUGCUUUCGUAUUUCUCUUGUCACUUUAUUUUUCUAAUGGUAAGCAGUUAAUGGCUAUAACACGGGCAUAGCAGCGAACACCUGCUGCUGAAAACUUCUUGCAAUGCAGAAAGGAUGCACGAUGGAAUGAUAUAAAUUUAUAGUGCCACUGGCACCCAGACAUUGCACUGGCACCAAAGAAGAGGGGAAAAUGAAGGAUCCACAAGUACGAGUGCAUCGCAAGUGCAAGAUGUGCCGUAUCAGUGGUGACCGUGCCCGCAUGACAAAAUGCAGGGCGGCGAUAAUAAUCUCACAGGUGCCCUCCUUCUGCAUCAGUUUCACUCUCAGAGAGCCUAUGUGAAAUAAUUGUUCAUAUGGUUCUUACAGGGGCUUGUUUAAAGGCCAACUGCAAUGCAAUUUUGGACCGUGUAAAAAGCCUAGUUUAAGAUGGUUUAGAUAUUGAGGCCUUGCAAAAUUUGAGUGGUAGCGUCCUGAAAAGCUGGGAAAACUGUUCUUGAUACCAAAACUGCAAAAAGCACUACCACUGCUGCUCGCAAUAAGUGACGGAUGACCUAGAGUGAGCGGCUCCUUAUCAUGACCUCACAGAUGAAGCAGUGCCCGCGACGUGCUGAAAAAUCUUAGGCUAGCACUUGAGUCAUAGCGACGACUACCGGGUGCAUUUGUCGUCUGCUAGGUGCUGUUUAAAGGCUGCUAACAAGAAAUAUAUGUAUGAUUAGCAGCCUGUAACUUCGCGAAGAUGGCUGUAGUGGUAUGCACUACUCGUAACAAGUUUAGUCGAAGGGAAAUUUUGUUGCAUUUGGGCUUUAGCGAAAACGUUCUCACUGAGCUAGAUAAGUUUUGAGGACGGGUUCCAAACUGCUCAUUUUCUCGUCACCUAAGGUCACUAAUAACUUAAUUUACAUCAGUGAUUAGACACGUAAGUGCGUAAAUUUUUAUCUAAAAACUGCCAAUAUGGACACUUCAGUUGUAACAAUCAUGGCGCCAUGAUUUGCAUUGCUCUAAUUUAAACAUUCGGUGCAUCUAAAUGAACCCUGUGUACAACUUCAUAAUCGAGAAUUUGUGUCCACAUUGUGUACCCAUUCAGUAUAGCAAGGCCUGUUGACUAGAAGAAAAAGUGAAGUGGUUAAGACUUUCCUAUAAUAAGCAGUAGACUUGAACUCAAAUUUAGCACUUACUGUCACUUUGAUCAAGGAAAUGAGGGAGCCGAGACAAAAAGCUUUGUGUCUAGCUGGGCCCGAGUUACCUGUACGUAGUUUUGAACAGUGCACAAAAUUCUACAUCAAAUGUAGUACCUAUAUAAAUCAAACUUUCCGAUGAAAUGCACAAAACAGUUUUAAAUUUUAUAUAUGCACUGAAGCAGAAACUAAUAACUGAAAAUGCUUUGAUACAUGAUGCACACAAAAUAUGUAGUAAUCUAUUAUUGUAACCAAGUUAACUGAUCACUGGUAAAAUAUUUCUGUAGGAUACAGCGAGGGCAUUCACUGAAAGCAGUACCCUAUGUCUGUUCAGUACAGGACAGUUUAAUGGCCUUCUUACAACACGUGCACAAGUGACAUUCUUGAUUGAACUUGAUAACUUAACAUUUGUUUGCUGUAAUUACUGCAGCUGGUGGGGGUUUGCUCACAUUUCUGUUGGCAAACGUAUCUGCUGGAUGUAUUAUCUGCAGUAGUGGGAGGUAAACGGUUUUUAUGUUUGAGCAAACAGAAAUCAUAUAUGUGAGUUGCUUUUAAAAAGUAUAUAGUGUUGAAAAGAUGGUGCCAUAGCUAGGUCUCACGGCCUACCAUAAACACCCUCAAUGGAAUGCAAACACAUUUUUGCAUGAGGAUAUGUUUCUAAUAAUUACGAGAUUGUGUAGUUGUUUCAGUGUUCAAUGAUCAGUGUUUUAUGCUUGAUCUCUUUUCGUUUAUUACGCCUUAAGGAACGUAGGCAUCACAUUAAGCUUGUGUAUUGUCUUUCACACCUUAAGGAACCUAGGCAUCACAUUAAGCUUGUGUAUUGUCUUUCAUUCUAACUGUUCUUUUUUUUCUGGCCACCCUGCUCUUCAUUGUUAUUCCAUGGUUGUUGCCAGCAAUACAUAUAAAAUAAAUUAUCAUAUUUAAUAUGUACGGGUGCGAUGGUUUUUCCAAGUGUGUAUGACCCUGUACUUAGCUUGUUCCUCAGUUUUGCACUGUCUUCUGCAUCGGUGCUGUCUGAAGCGCCCCAGAAAGUGCUUCUAUUGAUGGAAGCGCACGUGAUGCCACAAGAGCUUUUAUCAAUGAGCAAGAAUAGUUCUGUCCCAUGACUCAAAGCUCGGUUUCCUGCAACCCCCCAUCUCCCCAGAUGUACUUUUUCGGCAGGCUAGUUGGUUCAUACUGACUUUUUAGUGUGCUACACAAAACUUUCACUGUAAGGUGCAGAAAAAAAGAAAGAUGUGAGAGGAAAGAGUGCGAACAGUCUGCCUUCCUUUUUGUCGUGUCUCUCCUUUUUUUUUUGCACCUUACAGGUUUCCUGCAGUACAUUAUAAAAUGUAAAACCCCUAGAUGAUGUUGCCCGCCACAUUUCACUAGGGUGCCUCUGUCUUUAUUGCCCACCGCUCCGUUUAGGGUGGCGACGACUGCUUCGUCUGCUACUGUGCCUGCCUUGUCUGUGCCCAAUCCUUGGCAGAGCAUAGCUAAUGCGCGAGUGAAAAAAGUUUUUCAAGGAAAGGAAGAGCAUUUUUUUGCCGAUAAUAAUGUGCAUAAAAUCAGCAAUGAACAUUUGCAGUUAGGGGAUUCAGUUGUUGCCCUUUCUUCAAUUUUAUAAAAUUUCAGAACAGCAGUUCUAACUUUUGUUAAAUACAGGGUGUUUUUUUUAUACUAUAGAGAUAUUUUUAAUAAAAAGGUAUGAGCGUAGCAAACACGGCACUUUUGGCAAGUUUCUAGUUGAGGUGGGCAUGCUUUGCCACUAAUGACGAGUUUCAGAAGGAUAAGAAAAAUUCGUUACUUUUUUACUAGUGUCUUGGGGGUUGUUUAAAUGGCAAAUUUGGAAGCAGUAAAAUUUUAAUGCAUCCCCCAUUUUGAAAAUUCUGUUUAAUUGCGCUCUAUUUGAAACAUCUAAUUUCAACACUCAAUCCAGGCAAUGUACACAGAUAAUAUCAGUGUGUAAGAAAUAUGUACUUGUAAUAUUGAAUAUAAUGAAGAUGUUGGAUGGGACUUUGUUAUGACAAGGUUGCAUGAAGUGUGGACAUCCCUGCACAGUACGCAUUUGGUGCAUUAAGGCUGUCUUUCUGAGCCACUCAAGAAUGAAGAUUGGGAAGUUGGUGUGUCAGAAAAGCGUGGUUUGAGGCUGUGACAACAUGGUUUUAUGCGCAGCACACAGGCUUAUACGCAAAAGCAUACUCGCUUUCUUCUUUUUUUUAAUUAUAAUUUUAAGAGCAUAUUAACGAAAGUGUAUGUUGCAAUAUAAUGCUAUUCAGGAGGAGGUCCCAAACUCAGUGACUGUAAUGCAAACUCUUGUAUAAAGUGUAUGUAAGAAUGUAAAGAGCAGUUGUAAUGGAAUAAAUUACAAGCAGUCAUACUAUUAGUCGCCUUCAUUAACAAAGCUGUAAAAUGCAGAAAAUAUUCAAGAAAUAAUGUGUCUUGCAGGACAUGGCAUUGACUUGCCAUGCAAGUUCCUUGUGUCUUGAAUGAAUGUUUCAAAAAGUGAAAUGCAGUGGCAUUACCACUGUUUGGGUGACGUCUGUAUUACAGAAAUAGUGAACCCCAUAAACAUUUAGUCAUGUCUUUUUGUUGCUUUUGUCACUUUGUAUGACUGUUUCGUAAGAUAUGAUGUUAAGCCAAAGUACCAGUAAUAUUUCUUUUAUCCUGCAGUGUUUUCUUUAUUUUUCACAUUGUCAUUUUGUAAGCUAUGUGGUUUGUUUCUAGUGUGUGUUUAUGGUCAAGGAAUUCAUUGCAACUCAUGCUGUUGCUUUUGUCAAGUGUCUCUGCAUGCCUGUACGGCAACUGUUUCACAAGGAGAUGGUUUCCCUGUGUAGUUGGAAUCGAAAAUUACUGCUCGUGUUAUUUUGUCUUGUUCUCUGUCCCACGUGUUGACGCUAUUCAUGCCUGACAUUGCCACGCAAGCUGGCCUGCACUGCUUCAAAAGUACUUGGCAUUGCAAUUUAUAAUACAUCAAUGUUGUCUGCUUUAGAUGUACUAUUAGGUACACUUUAUGGAAUUGUGAUGUCACUUUUCAUUGCUUAGUUAGUUAUAAACUUGAUAGUUUUGUUUUCUGAAAAUUUAUUUCUGACAAUAUUUGUUUAAAAAUUGACGGCCUAAUUAAAAGACUCCGCCUCAGCAGUCACUAGAAUUUAACUUUUUCUUUCAAGUACAACAAACCUCACCAAAUUUGGUGCAGUGGUUGCCAAAAAAUAUUUAUAUUUUCCCAUGUGUUUAGAUAGGAGCUCCUUAGCUAAAGCUUCCUCCUAAUGUCUGAGAACAGAGCUUCUCUGCUCUAGUCUGUGUAUUAGAACACGAGCAAUUUAGAAAACCCAUAAGUAAUUUAUUUUACUCAGUUACUUGAUGCUCUGCUGCUAUUUAAUAAUCUGUCGCAUUACGGAUGACAGUACAUAGACGACUUGAACACAUUGCUUUUCUAGGCAUGUGUUCUCCCUCUAGCACAAUAAUAAUGGCGUCAUGCGCAUAUGGUGGUGGUUUGCAAUUUAUUCCCAGAUAAAAUAUGGCAAGCAGCCAUGUUUUGCCAAACCAUGCGAGCCAAGAAAAUGUUUUCGUGCUGUGAGCGUGAACAAACCAUUAGUAAGCGCAAAGUUUUCUUUAGUUAGAAGGUGUCUGACUAAUAGUGCGAUUAACUGUCAUUGACAUGUCUACUCUGCCCUGUAGCUUGGCCCUUCCCGUGUAAUACUCGUGUCUUCUCUCUUCGCAGCUGCAUCAGGACGAAGCACUCGAGGUGAGGGGCGGUCAUUUCUCCAGUGGUGGACGGUGAGGGAGAAUGUCGAAGAGGCAGGCACGACUGAACCGAACAAGCCACGCAAGUUUCGCCAAGUCAUCGGGAACGCCAGUAAAGGCGCCGACGUUCGGAGAAGGAAGACUUCCAAGUGUAGAGAACCGCUGCUGUGCGUCCUCUGCCCGUACACUACGCCUCACGUGACCCACAUGAAAGACCACAUGCGAACGCACAGUGGGGAGAAACCCUUCAAGUGCACCAAAUGCCCUGCUGCGUUCACGCAGGCAGCAAACUGUCGGCGCCACUUACGCGCCCACUUGCGACAGAAAGCUACGCCGACCUAAUUAUUUCCAUGUGCUCAACGCUUGUGAGCUCUAGCGCUCGUGUUUUGUGCAGAAGUGCGGGAGAGGAACUCAGUGAUGGACGUUUUGUGAAUGCCAUAGGGGAUCUGAGUGCUCCAGAAUGCUUUUGGACAGGACCACAAUGGCACACGUACAUCGAACCUGGGCGUUGCUUUUGUUGGUCUUUCAAGAUAGAAAAAAGAGGACCCAGUUGGAUGUAGAAAUGAUUAUUAUGCUAGUUGGUGCACUACUGCUAAAUAGUGAUGCUCCAGUGUGAAUAGACAGUUACUAUGGUGGGACAAUGUAAAAAUAAUGUAGACAGGAUGACAAAGGCACACAUACGAGAAACACGAGCUCUGUAUUUGCAUUGGCAUGAAGUAUGUUUCCAACUUGGGUUGCCGGCCGUUAAAGCACGUAGGAUGUAGAGGCGCUGUGGUGUGAGCACCAAAUGCCAGCCAUUAUUGAAAAACCACCAUUUGGCGAUUUCUUGCUUACCAACUUUGACAAUGAGCGGGCUUUAACCUUACCUCUUCAUACUUGAGCUUUGACAUUGAAGAGCAAUGUGCCAACCAACACAGGAAUGAGCAUGUUUGAAAUAAUUCAGCUUUGUCUUCUGUUCCCAUGUUGCAUUGUCAUUCAACAGUUUGUUGCACUUGGUUUUGGUUGCAGCAGGAAAUGUACACAUCGGUAGUUUUUUUUUCUGUGUUCCACUUGUGAGACAACAAAACCUUCAAAUCUUGUUGUUAAAGCUGCAUGUGUAAACUGUUGGCACUGCCAGACGAUUAGUGCUGGUGGAAUUUUCCUGGCUUGGAAAUGACUAAAGUAUAAAAUAAAAUUUGACAAAGAAAAAAAA